rnacentral:tRNA from 1 species
GCUUGCUUGCCAGGUGGGUAGGCUUUGAAAGCUUAUAAUAGAAAGCAGGUG